UUUAUAAUUUAUUUUAUUAUAAAAUUUUAUUUAAUUAAAAAAAUAUAUGAAAAUUUUUUUUUGUUAAUUUAUUUCUUAAUGAAUUUUAAUUAUUCUCAGUAUUAAAUAUUAAAUAUUAAAGAAAUUUAGAUUUAAUUAUUAAUUUUAGUAUAGACUAAAUAUGUGCCAGCAGUUGCGGUUAAACUUAUUAUACUAAUAAAAUAGUUUGGUUAUUAGUAUUUUAAUAAUUUUUGUAAUUUAAUUUUUAAUUAUUUAGGUAAAAUUUAAUUUAAAAUUAUUUUUAUAAUUAUAUUAUUCUAUUAAAUUUUAUUUGAAACUAGGAUUAGAUACCCUAUUAUAAAAAUUUAAAAUAAUUACUAAAAGAUUAAUAGUUAUGUUCUUUAAAUUUAAAAAAUUUGGCGGUAUUUUAAGUCUUAUUAGAGGAACCUGUUUUUUAAUUGAUAAUCCACGAUUAAUUUUACUUAUAUUUUAAAUUUAUAUAUCGCUGUCAAGAAUAUAUUAAAAAAUUAUUUUCUUUAAUUAUUUUAAUAAUUUAUGUUAAGUCAAGAUGUAGUUUAUAUAUAAGAAAAUAAUGGGUUACAUUAAAUUUGAUUUUUUGAAUUUUAAAAUGAAAAAUUUAAAUGAAAUUGGAUUUAAAAGUAAAUUUAAUUAAUUUAUUAAUAUGAAUAAAGAUCUGAAAUAUGUACAUAUUGCCCGUCAUUCUUAUAAAAAGUAAGACAAGUCGUAACAAAGUAAAUGUACUGGAAAGUGUAUUUAGAAAGAAAAAAAUUGAAAAAA
rnacentral:ncRNA from 1 species